rnacentral:rRNA from 1 species
UACGUAGGGUGCGAGCGUUAAUCGGAAUUACUGGGCGUAAAGCGUGCGCAGGCGGUUUUGUAAGCCAGAUGUGAAAGCCCCGGGCUUAACCUGGGAAUGGCAUUUGGGACUGCAAGGCUGGAGUUUGGCAGAGGAGACUGGAAUUCCUGGUGUAGCAGUGAAAUGCGUAGAUAUCAGGAGGAAUACCGAUGGCGAAGGCAGGUCUCUGGGCUAUAACUGACGCUCAUGCACGAAAGCGUGGGGAGCAAACAGGAUUAGAGUACCC